AACGAACGCUGGCGGCAUGCCUAACACAUGCAAGUCGAACGAGACCUUCGGGUCUAGUGGCGCACGGGUGCGUAACGCGUGGGAACCUGCCCUUAGGUUCGGAAUAACUCCCCGUAAGGGGUGCUAAUACCGGUUAAUGUCUUCCGACCAAAGAUUUAUCGCCUUUGGAUGGGCCCGCGUUGGAUUAGCUAGUUGGUAGGGUAAAAGCCUGCCAAGGCGACGAUCCAUAGCUGGUCUGGGAGGAUGACCAGCCACGCUGGGACUGCGACACGGCCCAGACUGCUACGGGGGGCAGCAGUGGGGAAUAUUGGACAAUGGGCGAAGGCCUGAUCCAGCAGUGCCGCGUGAGUGAUGAAGGGCUUAGGGUUGUAAAGCUCUUUUACCCGGGAUGAUAAUGACAGUACCGGGAGAAUAAGCUCCGGCUAACUCCGUG
rnacentral:rRNA from 1 species